UCCAUAUUUCGACCAACUCCCUUCUCUCCCUACAUAUAUCUAUCUACACACAUAUACUUCCAUGCUAAAAGCUCAAUUCUAGGAGGUUUAGAGUAUGAAUUUGGUGAGGCUAUAGAAAGGCAAAGAAUUACUUUCAUGGCCACCAUAUUUCAUCACCGUUUCUCUCUUGUGCUCAGUUAAGGUAGGUUUGCUCUAACACUUGUUGCUUCGUGUUAUUGUAGGAAAUAAUAUGUGAUUCUCUUUCUCGAAAAACCUUCUUGAUUCUAGACGUCUUUGCUGAGUUCCUUGUAAUUGAACUGUUUUAAAAAAAAAAAAAAUUAGUUAAUGUAUGUGUAUUUGUUAUGUAUUUAAUUUCCUCAAGUUUUCAUAGCAUGCUCUUUUUUUUUUUUUUUUUUUUUUCAUGGCUGUUUUUUGUGCUGUAUUUCCUACUAGGACCUUGUGUCUCAUCCUAUUAAUUUUUAGGUGCCGUGAUUAAUUGAAGGAAAUGGAGUUGCUGAAAGUGCUUAUUUGUGACCAUCCUGUUCAUAUAGAUAAUGUGUUUGAUAAACUACUUGAUUCCAUUGUAAUUUGAGAAAAUGAUGUAAACACGUGAUUAUGAUAGUAUAUAAAGGAAACUAUGGAAAUUUAGAGACUUCUUGUUAAUGUUUCCAGUAAGUUUGAGUGGUUGGUUUGAUGAUUAAGAAAGACAACAUAAAUUUUCUUCUUUUAAUUUUGCUUGAAAUAAAUAUUUUCUCCAAGGAGCUGUAGUGCUCCAAUUGCUACGAAACUUUUAUCACAGGUUUUUCUACAUGUCCAAAACUUCUCAGAUUAAUUUCGGAAUUUUUGGACCAACAGAUUUUUUUUCUAAAAAUUCGACAGCACCUACUGUCCAGAUUUUAUACUUGCUGGAAAUCUGAUUUUUUAAUAAUAUAUUUGACCAACUUCUUGACACCAGAUCUUUAUAAAAAAUUCCAAUUUUAUACUUUCAUAAGUCUAAUUUCUAAAAACAAAUUUAUUGGAAUUUUCUUUGCUCCGGAUAUUUUUUUUCAAAUUGACGAAGUUUGUCAAAAGGUUUAUUUUCAGCUCAUUUUGGAUAAUCUAUUUUACUUCUAAAAUAUGAUCUAAUUGAGAAACAUUCAGCUUACAUGGGUGGCUUAGCCUUGUUGCAUUUUGAGUCUAGUUUCCGAAGAAUUUUAGUUUGCCCUAUUUCACUUAAAAUUGAAUUUUCCACGAAUUUUUGAUCAACUGCUACGCAGAAUUCUUUCCAAUAGGAUGCUGCACUUGUGGACUGUUUGUUUUGUGUUCGGAUAGUAAUUCUGCACUUCUCACCAUGAAUGGAGGGUCUGUUGUAUGAAUUUUGGGGUUGAUUGCUACAUAAUACAUUGUUGUUGUUGUGGUUUGAUCAGGUUUUAUAUGAGUUGUAGUCUGAUUUUGGUACUUGAAACAAAUAUGAGUUUUUUUUUUUUUUAUAUUUGUGAAGAGAUUCAUUAAAUUUACCUGGGGCUGUGGUUCUCCAAAUGCUUUAAAUUUUUUUUGCCACGGGUUCUCCUCUGUGUCUAGAGUCCAUCUGGGAAAUUUCAUACUCUUUGGACGAAUAAUUAUUUUUAUAAAAAAAAUCUGGCAGUGCUUACUGUCUGACUUUUAUCGCUACUCAAAAUCAGAUUUUGGAUAAUUUAUUUGAUAAACAUUCUGACAUCUGAAAAUUAUCAAACCGUCAAUAUUUUUAUCCCUUAGAGUCUUAUUUCUCAAAAUAAAAUCCUUGGAUUUUAUCAAAUCCACAUAUAUAUAUUUUAAAUGAAUAAAGUGAGGAUUUUAGUGAAAUUUUCGGGUCGUGACAAUUUUUUAUCUCCCACUAUUACCAUUCUUUGUUUUUUUUCCCCUUCAAUUUCCAUUGUACCAAACUGGUCUUAAGAGCCAAAACACUAAUCCCAUCAACAAACUCUUUGAAAACCACCAACAUUAACACAAAGCCAAAGAGAAAAUAGUAAAAAUUACUCAGCAAAUUAACCCUGAAUAUAUGAAAAUUACGUUUAUGCCCUUAUUAUUAUAUAAAUAAUUUUAGAAUUAAAUGCUCCGACACCACAGUCUUGCGUUUAAUGCUUUCAGAUUACUGUAUGAUAUACAAUUCAAGAAACUGAGAUGAUCAAAUUGACACAAACAUAUAGUGUGAUAGAAGGACGAAAAUGAAUCAAGAAAUUGAGAUGAUCAAACAAAGUCAGGCCCCCCUCCCCCUAGGUUGCCAGAAAAAAGAAAGGAAAAAAAGUCAGGUCCACAUGAGUUUGACUUUAGUGCCAGAAAUGUGGAAAUUUCAAGUGUCAAUGGUCUAAUUGGUGCUUUUAGAAAUGUUCAGAUGACAGCAAAAACAUGGUCACAAUUUCUUGAGAAAAAUUGGCAAUGGAGACCUUUCCUUUCAUCCUCGUUUACUUACUGAUCCCAUUCUCAGUCUUAGAAUUCUCCACAGCAGCUGAUACUUUAGCUCCAUAUCAAUCAAUCACCAAGGGUCAGAGUUUAGUAUCCUCUGGCCAAAGCUUCGAACUAGGCUUCUUUUCUCCCAGUGGUUCCAAGAACCUGUUCUUGGGAAUAUGGUACUACAAGAUUUCUCCACAAACUGUGGUGUGGUAGCAAACAGGGAAAACCCAAUUAUAGAUUCAUAUGGAAAUCUAACUAUCAACGGCGAUGGCAAUCUCGUGCUCUUCAGUGCCACAAAGGUGUCAUCUGGUCCUCAAAUUCUUCAAGAACCGUGCAAAAUUCAUCAGUUGCACAGCUAUUGAAUUCUGGAAACUUAAUCCUCAAAGAGCUCAGUACUGAUAUCAAUACAGAAAGUAGUUACAUAUGGCAAAGCUUUGAUUUCCCAUCAGACAAACUUUUACCUGGCAUGAAGUUGGGAUGGAACUUAAAGACUGGCUUAAAUGGAUAUUUGACAUCAUGGAGAGAUGCCACUGACCCAUCUCCUGGAGACUUCACUUUUGGAGUUGACCUUACUGGGAUUCCUCAGGUGGUUCUUCAAAAGGCAUCAUCGAAGAGGAUUUUCCGCACUGGGCCAUGGAAUGGAGUUCGAUUUAGCGGUGCUAGUGCGGCGUCAAACCUGGUUAGUAAACCGAGUUUUAUAGUCGAUGCAGACGAGGUGUAUUAUAUGUACGAGUCUAACAAUGACUCCUAUAUUACAACCGUAAUGCUGAAACAAUUGGGUAUGCUACAGCGCCUCGUCCUGAAUGAAGGGAGCUCCGAAUGGGCUGUUAUGUAUAAUAUACCGAAUGAUCCCUGUGAUGAUUAUGGAUACUGUGGUGCCAAUGGUAUUUGCAGAGUUAACAAUAGGCCAGUAUGUGAGUGCUUGGAUGGGUUCAUUCCAAAAUCGCAGGAAGAAUGGAACCUCUUUAAUUGGUCCCGUGGAUGUGUGAGGAGGACAUCACUAGAGUGCCAGAACGGAGAUGGAUUUGUGAAACUCAAAAAUGUGAAAUUGCCAGACCUGUUAGAGUUUUGGCUGAAGGAGAGUCUGAACCUUAAGGAAUGCGAGGCAGAGUGCUUGAAGAAUUGUACUCUUGUACAGCUUAUGCUAAUUCAGAUAUCAGGGGAGGAGGCAGUGGCUGUUUGAUUUGGUUUGAUUAUUUAGUUGAUAUUCGUGAUUUCGAUAUGAACGAGGGCGAGCAAGAUAUCUACAUACGGAUGCCAGCUUCGGAACUCAACCAUGAUCAGAAGAAGAAGACACUGGUGCUGAUCGAAGUGGUAUCAACAGUUUCUGGGAUGGUUGUCCCCAGCUUGUUAACUUGGUGUUUAAUUACGAAGAGGAGAAAGGAAACAGGGUAAGCUAGCAACGGGACAAGAAAUAGAAGUCAAGAGGCUUUUGAAUAAUUCCGGACAAGGUGUACAAGAGUUCAAAAAUGAAGUUACUUUGAUUUCCAAACUUCAACACUGGAAUCUUGUUAGGCUGUUGGGGUGUUGCAUUGAAGGAGAGGAGAGCAAGGGCAGAGCCAAUUAAGGCCCAAAAGGGGCACGUGCCCCCCUCACUUUGCUCCAACCUACUAUACAUAGAUACAUAUUUUUAGUAUAUAUACACAUACUUACAUAGUAAUUUUAAAUAAUGCCCCCCCUCAAAUUUUCAAAUUCUUUUAAUUUCCUUUUGAAAAAAAAAAAAAAAAAAUUACAUAUAGUCCUUCUUUGAAUAUACAAUAUAUUUUUCCUUUUCUAAUUUUUGUUUCCUUUUUCAAAAAAAUUAUUUUUUCACUUAUGUAUAAUUAUGUAUUUUUCUAUUUUUUAAAACUUAUUUCAUUUUAUCGAUGACAUUUGUGAUUGUAUUUAAUUAAAAUAUUAUUAAUUAAUAUUUUGAUUCUUAUAUUUGUAACUAUAUUUUUUUUACGGUAUUUAUUUAGUAUAUUAUUUUACAACUAUUUUUUUCUUAUUUGCUUUUUUUAUUUUAAAAAAUUAUAUUGUCAUAUUUAUUAAAAAAAAAAAAAAAAUUUUAACAAGUGCGUUGUGCCCCCUCUGAAAUAAAUUCCUGGCUCCGCCCCUGGAAGAGAGGAUGCUAAUAUAUGAGUUCUUACCGAACAAAAGCUUGGACUAUUUCAUUUUUGGUCUAGUUCUCUUGACCAUUUAUCUAAUUGACCAAUUUCAUAGAGUAGUUUAUGCAUUUAUGCAGUAGAGCAGUGCGUAGAGUCCACUGCUCUAUUGUAAAAAUGAUAACUGAUUUAAAACUUAUAUGGAUGGAAAUGUUGUGCAUAUCAAAAUGGAAGACAAGAACUUCCAUGGCAAAAGUGAUUUGAAAUUGUUUUGGGCAUAUCAAGGGGACUUUUCUACCUUCACCAGGACUCAAGAUUAAGAAUCAUUCAUAGGGAUCUCAAAGCCAGUAACAUUUUACUUGAUGAUGAACUCAAUCCCAAAAUUUCAGACUUAAUCAAAUACUAAAUAAUAGAAAAAAAUUAUCAUAAUUAACUCAAAUAUUCAAAAAAAAAAAAAAAAAAUCAUAAGGCAUAGACAAUGUUUAUGGUGAAAUGACUUAACUAUCCAUAAUAAUUGGGUUUAUACUGGUAACAUAUUACAUAGGUCAUAUUCACGAUUAUAACAUGUUGAGUUAAAUGGGUCAUAAACGGAUUACACGGGUUGAAUCCCUCAGCCCUAACCUGACACGGUUAAGUAAAUGGGUUAAUCGUGUCGACCAUUUUAUGACCCAAACUUGUUUAUGCCAAAUCCAAACCCUUUUAACUCGUGUCGUGUUCAUGUCGGGUUAUCGUGUUGUGUUAUAAUUUGUCACCCCUAAUCAAAUGGCAUGCUCUAAAGUGUGCCAUUGUACUCCAACUAAGAAAGAGGUCACGUGAACCAAAAUUGGAAGCAGCAUAUGGAUCCAAGAUAACACUGUUUUUGUAUGAAAACCCAAAACUACAUAUAUAUAUAUAUAUAUAUAUAUAUAUAUAUAUAUAUACACACACACACAAACAUGAACUUUUCAGUCUAAUUAUGAACCCUCAAUUAUCCGUCUUCAUACUAAAUUUCAAAUGAAGAUGUAAGCCUGGAAUUAAUACAACUGUAAAUAAACCAUGGCAGUGAGAAUUUGGUUAUCUCAUAUAAUGCUCUUGCUAGUAGGGGCGGCUCGAGCCUUAAUAAACCAUGGCAGUGAGAAUUUUGUUUAUGAGUUGUGACUAUUUUUACCAAUAUUGUUUAGUUGAAUAUGUCUUCUAGAAAGUAUGAAUCCGGAUUUGAAAAACUAAAAAAAAAAGAAAAAAAGAGAGUGAAGAAUAGAUAAACUAAUUCAAUCUCAAAAGGAAGCUAUUGAUAAAUUUGUUACAACUAAUAAUCAAAACCUAACAAAAAGUUGAUAAAAUCAUAUCUAUGAUCAACUAUGUCACAAGAAAGAUUAAAUAAAUUGGUUAUAUUGUUUAUUGAAAAAGAUAUUUUAACCACACUUACAUAUAAGAAUUUAAUUAGUAAUUUUGCAUUUAAAAAAGCAAGAAGGGUAAUUUUUAAUUAAUUAUUAUUUAAUACUUAAUAUAUUACAUAUUAUGCUAUGAAAAUGCCACUUUUUUUUUUUUUCGCCUAAGGCCUUGAGUUACAUUGAGCCGUCCCCGCUUGCUAGCAUGCUGAAACAUAGAGUGAGAAAAAUAAUAAUAAUAAUUGCUUGGCAAUUUCUCCCCCUGCACAUAAAAAAAAAAAAAAAAUUGUGAGAGGUUGGUUUUCGGUAAUUUAUCCCGUUUCACAAAAAAAGAAAAAAAAAAAUUUUUUUUUUGCAGAGAUUGAGAUUCUAUACGCUUGACGUUGAAUUUAGUCAUGAGAGAUUAGGUGGUGGUGACAACUGACAUUAGUCUAUUAAGUCAGUCAACCUUUGACCACUGGUUCAUCUACCUCCCCAGUACUUGGUAAAUUCAAGCAAAAGGCUUUAGUUUACAAUAAAUGACAUUUGCGAUGUUUUGCUUUUUGAGAUUUUUUGUCUUAUUUAAACAAAUUUAAUUAUAACGGUAAUUUGGUAAAUGCAGAAUGACAUCGACCAGAAAGUAACAGACAUUUAAAUUUAUGGGACAAGUUGUUCAUUUUUGAAAUUACAUGAACGUACUUGCUCACUUUUAUAUCAUAAGAUGAUAUUUUACUCAUUUGGUGAAAUCAGGAGGGGUUUUCUUUUCUUAAAAAUUUUGAGAUUAAUUUAUCAUAGAUUGACUUGAAUCAUGAUAUCCCUAUUUCCUUUUGCCAUUUGUCGAACAAUUUCUCCAAUUUUUCUUUCCCUCUUUCGUCAAUAAUUUUCCUUUAUAAAGAGUUUAACAUAGUACUAUUUCCUUAUUUUUUAAAAUAAAAGGUGAAAGGACUAAAAAUGAACUAGGUCACACUCGGGCUGGUCCAUCAAGCCUGAAGCACUAUUGGGCCGUUAGGCCAUGCAUAGACCAAUGCACCAAGCCCAGGGCGCCAUCAAGACAUUACCAGGCCCAAUUUCACCAACAUUAUGAGCACACAUCCUAUUUAGCAUGGCUCGAGGAGAAGACCCAGCCCGGAAGGACAACCAAGAGAAAAGUUUUAGGGCGAAUGUAAACUUCUAUAAGUGAAGUGAGAGAGAGAAGGAAACGGAGGUUGUUUGGAGUGUGAGAAAAUUAUUUCUUAAUAUAGAACUAUAUUUUCUUGCAUCUUCAUCUAGCGCCUUCUGUAAGAACUAAAGAAAGAUCCAUCGAUUUCAGCAACGAAUGUGAUUUAAAUAAUUUUAAUUCAAAAUUCGUUGCUUAUAUAUGAUAAUUAUUUAUGAAAAUUAUCUUCAAAAGUAAAUGUAGCAUGAAAAUUACUUAUAGAGUUGCUAGGUCAAAUAAUUUAAAAUACUUAAAAAAAUGCGUAAUUCAUGUAUGUUUUUAUAUGGCAUUUUGUUACAUAUAGUCUGGUGUGAUUGAGACGUGUUUGAAAAAAAUUAUGAGCAGGUGAUAAAAGGAAAAAAAAGGUUGAAAUAAUUAAGUCAUUAUAGAAAGAGAGUUGUGAUUAUCAAAAUUGGAGACUAAAUAGAUACAUAAACGUGACAGAAUUUAAGUCUCCAUAAUUACACAAUUCUUCUUCUAAAUAAGUGUCUCACGGUAAUCUUACUCCACCUCAUUUGAUUUAAAUAUUGUGACUUUCCGGCUUUGUAUGACCUGGGACAAAACUUAUGGACCAAUAACUGUUAUUUGACACUAUCGUAAACGGACCGGAGGUCCGGAACGAAUAAAGAAACUGAGAUGAUCAAACAUAGCAGGCCCACCACAUUGGGUUUGAUUUCAGCGCCCACAAAUCUGGAAAUUCUAAUGAUAAGUGGCAAAACUGAUUCUCAAAUAAUGUUUCUGUUGACAGCCAAAACAUGGUCACAGUUUCCGAGAAAAAUUGCCAAUGGAGACCUUUCCUUUCUUUCCUCUUGUACUCACUAAUCUCACUCUCAUUCUUAGAACUCUCCGCUGCAGCUGAUACAUUAACUCCAUACCAAUCAAUCACCAAUGGUGAGAGUUUAGUAUCCUCGGGCCAAAGCUUCAAACUAGGCUUCUUUUCUCCCAGUGGUUCCAAGAACCUGUUCUUGGGAAUAUGGUACUACAAGAUUUCUCCACCAACUGUGGUGUGGGUAGCAAACAGAGAAAAUCCGAAUACAGAUUCAUAUGGAAAUUUAACUAUCAACAACGAUGGAAAUCUCGUGCUCUUCAAUGCCACAAAGGGUGUCAUCUGGUCCUCAAAUUCUUCAACAACUGUGCAAAAUUCAUCAGUUGCACAGCUACUGAAUUCUGGAAACUUUGUCCUGAAAGAAAAUACUGAUGCUGAUACAGUAAGUUGCUACAUAUGGCAAAGCUUUGAUUUCCCAUCAGACACACUUUUACCUGGCAUGAAGUUGGGAUGGAACUUAAAGACUGGCCUAAAUAGACACUUGACAUCAUGGAGAGAUGCCACUGACCCAUCUCCUGGAGACUUCACUUUUGGAGUUAAUAUGACUGGGAUGCCUCAGCUUGUUAUUCAAAAGUGAUCAUCAGAGAAGAUGUACCGCAGUGGGCCAUGGAAUGGAGUUCGAUUGAAACCAAAUGCAGUUAGUAUACCGAGUUAUACAGCCAAUGCCCAUGAGGUGUAUUUUAUGUAUGAGUCUACCAAUGACUCCUAUAUUGCAAGAUCAAUGCUGAAUCAAUUGGGUAUGCUACUACAGCGGUUCAUUCUGAGUGAAGGGAGCUCUGAAUGGGUUGCUAUGUAUACAACACCGAAUGCUCCGUGUGAUGAAUAUGGACAUUGUGGUGGCAAUGGUAUUUGCAGAGUUAACAAUAGGCCAGUAUGUGAGUGCUUGGAUGUGUUCAUUCCAAAAUCACAGGAAGAAUAGGACCUGUUUAAUUGGUCCCGCGGAUGCGUGAGGAGGACAUCACUGGAUUGCCAGAACGGAGAAGGAUUUGUGAAACUCCAAAAGGUGAAAUUGCCAGACCUGUUAGAGUUUCGGUUGAAGGGGAAUUUGAGCCUUAAUGAAUGCGAGGCAGAGUGCUUGAAGAAUUGUUAUUGUAUAGCUUAUUCUAAUGGAGGAGGCAGUGACUGUUUGAUGUGGUUGGGCGAUUUAGUUGAUAUUCGAUACUUUGAUGACAAAGACAACAAGCAAGAUGUCUACAUACGGAUGCCAGCUUCGGAAUUCAAAGGAGAAGACACUGGUGCUGAUUGUAGUGGUAUCAACAGCUUCCGGGAUGGUUGUCCUCAGCUUGUUAACUUGGUUUGUAUUUAAGAUGAGGAGAAAGAAAAUAAGUAUACCACCUCCCCUCUCUGGUGCGGAAACUCAGAAUCAAGACAUCGAGUUACCAUCUUUUGAUCUGCUCACUGUUGCAGAUGCCACUAAUAACUUCUCUUCCACAAAUAUGAUCGGAAAGGGUGGUUUUGGUCCUGUUUAUUAGGGUAAGCUUACAACAGGAGAAGAAAUAGCAGUCAAGAGGCUUAUGAAUAAUUCUGGACAAGGUCUACCGGAGUUCAAAAAUGAAGUUAUUUUGAUAUCCAAACUUCAACACUGGAAUCUUGUUAGGCUGUUGGGCUGUUGCUUUGAAGGAGAAGAGAGGAUGCUAAUAUAUGAGUACAUGCCGAACAAAAGCUUGGACUACUUCAUUUUUGUUUAGAAUAGAAGACUAGAACUUCCGUGGCAAAAGCGAUUUGAAAUUGCUAUGGGCAUAUCACAGGGAAUUCUCUACCUUCACCAGGACUCAAGAUUAAGAAUCAUUCAUAGGGAUCUCAAAGCCAGCAACAUUUUACUAGAUGAUGAACUAAAUCCCAAAAUUUCAGACUUUGGGAUUGCAAGAAGUUUUGGGAGAGAUCAAAUUGAAGCCAAAACAAAUCGAGUAAUUGGGACAUAGUGUGCUUUUACUGGAGAUAGUGAGUGGCAAGAAGAACAUGAAUUUUCAUCAUCCCGAUCAUUAUCAUUCGCUUUUGGGACAUGCUUGGUUGCUAUGGAAUGAACACAAAGCCCUGGAAAUUGUGGAUCCAUGUUUGGAAAAUUCAUACAUUGAAUCUCAAAUACUAAGAUGUAUUCAAGUUGGUCUACUAUGUGUUCAGAAAUUUCCAGAAGAUAGACCAACCAUGUCAUCAGUAAUUUUCAUGUUGGGUAAUGAAGGGAUGAAAUUACCUCAACCCAAACAACUUGGUUUCUUUGUGGAAAGAAGUUCCAUUAAUGCAAAGGAGAGAUGCCAUACUGAAAGUGGAUUGACGAUAACAAUAAUGGAAGGUAGAUAGGAGAUGCGUCUACUACAUAUUGUUGUAUCGAUAAAGUUGAUGCAUAUCAAGAAAUUGUUAGGUCAAGAAAAAAAGAAAAAGCAAAAAGAUUGUAAUACAUAUGUUCGGCUCACGGAGAAGCGCUGGUUCUGCUCUUUGGAAUGUGUGGAAUGUGGAUACGAUAGAAUAGUGGGGGGUGCGGGCGUGCCAGGAACUGUAGUAGUUCCAAAGUGGAAAUCCGAACAGUAAUCCAGUUGGAAAUUUGUAGGGAUCAGGCGAUUGUACGAAUGUCUGGAAUGAUCACCUUCGAAGGGUCUUUUUUGCCUUUGAACAAGGACUUCAAACUAUUUUAUGGCUAAUGGAAAUGAAGACGGUAUUGAAGGUGCAAGACUAGAAAUUAAAGUAAUUUAAAGUGCAGGACUGGAAAUUUAGAGACAUGGAAAUGCAGUGCUAGGCUGGAAGUAACAAAGGAAUGCUGGACUUAACUCAAGCGUUAUGAGAAUUUCAUCGCAUGGAAUGAAUGCUAUAGAAGAUAGCAAAGUGCUGAACUUAACUUAAAAUGAUGCACAUUCAUUGCUAGAAUGGAAAUACAUGUACUAGCAAAGUGCUAAGUUUAGACAUAGUGUAAACUCAUUGUUGAAAUGAGAGAUACAUGAAAGCAAAUAUGCUUAUGUUGAUGUGUUGUUUAGGCUGAGCAGGCUGGGUUUGUAAGUUAAUCCUUAGUGCACUAUUUAUAGACUUCCUUGCAUGCAGUAGCUGAGAUGUGGUGACUGCAGCAAAUUCCACUUGGCCUAGUCCGAUGCUGCCAAGUGUCCAUAUUCUCAGCAGUUCCUUUUAUUUCUGCCACCAUCUUCUUCCUCCUUUCUUCUUGUUGUAGAUUUCUUCUAAGGUUUCACUUGAACCAUAUCCCUUUUCUCUUCCAUGAACUUAUAUCGUGGGUAGUUUUAGAGUGGGUCUUCCACUCGUCUUCUCCAUAAAUUAGCACAUGCCCCAUGUCUUCUUGUUCUCCUUUCUUCAAGCACGAUUUUAUUGGCCCUGUUAUCCACAUACUCCGACAACCACUUCAAUUAGUGGUAGUAGUUGCAUGCAAAACCACCACUUUCAACUGAUGUACUCUGUUUAACCAUUUGGUAAUAUUUCUGAAUUUCGUCAUUUUUUUCAUUUUUCUGGAAUUUUCCGUUUACGUAAGGACAUUUUCGUCUUCUCUUGUUUUACAUGCCACACACUGUGGGGUAUGCCGGUUGUGUCCGAGAGUGGGUUGGGGCGUUUCAUUGAGUUCGGGACUCUUUGAAAUUCAAAAGUUGUCAUUUUGGCAUUUUUCAAUUUUUCGGACCGGAAAGUCCCGCGUGGGAUCCACUACCGGAAUUGUUGUGUACGGGGGUUAUGGUUGGGUCCAUUUGCAUGAUAUGCAUUUUAUUUAAUGUGUUUUAUGUGGUUAUAAUAUAGUUAUGUGCAUAUAAUUAUUUGUGGAGGAAAUAAAAUAAAAAGGAAGAUAUUUUAAUUUGGAGGGACCCUCCACCACUUUUCCUUCUUUUAAAUGGUCAAGAGACCAUUAUUGGUCUCAAGUUUCUUUCUCUAUCUCAUGCCUUCUCUCUUUCUCUCCUCCUAUUUUUCUUUUCUCUUUUGUGCAAGCUUUAAAUCUCGAUUUCUCUCAAACCGUUGGGAGAUUUUUGAUGCCGUUUAUGGUAAAUUGAAGAACACGACGAGAUCUACGUUUUGAUUGGAGCCAACGUUCAUUUGGCCACCAUUUUGGGGAUCUCAAAAUUCUUGGGUUUGAGGUGAAUUUGGGGCUUUUCUUCAAAUUAGAGGGCUAGGAAAAGAAGUAGUGGAUGCUGACCCAUUAUAAGCUUGAAGAAGAAUAAAAGUUUAUAUUUUGUAAUCUUUUGUAUUUAGCCUAUUCUUUUGUAAAGUUGUAACCUAUGAAAUGUAAUUGUAUUGUAAUGUGACUAUAAUAUUUUGACAACACUAGAUGUAUAUUUGGAACUAUGAGAACAUGUGGAGGUGAAUGGGCAAUGGAGUUAUGUUUUGAUUAA